UACGUAGGGACCAAGCGUUGUUCGGAUUUACUGGGCGUAAAGGGCGCGUAGGCGGCGUGGUAAGUCACUUGUGAAAUCUCUGAGCUUAACUCAGAACGGCCAAGUGAUACUGCUGUGCUAGAGUGCAGAAGGGGCAAUCGGAACUCUUGGUGUAGCGGUGAAAUGCGUAGAUAUCAAGAGGAACACCUGAGGUGAAGACGGGUUGCUGGGCUGACACUGACGCUGAGGCGCGAAAGCCAGGGGAGCAAACGGG
rnacentral:rRNA from 1 species